ACCUGCGGAGGGAUCAUUACAGAGUUGCAAAACUCCCUAAACCAUUGUGAACCUUACCUAUUACUGUUGCUUCGGCGGGAGGCGUCACACCGGCGCGCCCCAAAAGCCAGGGCCCCAACGAGGCGCCCGCCGGAGGCCCAAAACUCCUGUGAUUUUUCACGGCCUUCUUCUGAGUGGCUGUACUAAAGCAAAAAUGAAUCAAAACUUUCAACAACGGAUCUCUUGGCUCUGGCAUCGAUGAAGAACGCAGCGAAAUGCGAUAAGUAAUGUGAAUUGCAGAAUUCAGUGAAUCAUCGAAUCUUUGAACGCACAUUGCGCCCGCCAGUAUUCUGGCGGGCAUGCCUGUUCGAGCGUCAUUUCAACCAUCGAAGCCCUCAGGCGGAUCGGUGUUGGGGACCGGCCCUGCCUAGCACCGGGUUGCAGGCCCCGAAAAGCAGUGGCGGGCUCGUCUCAGUCACACCGAGCGUAGUAAAUCUUUUGAAACCUCGCUUAGGAGCGUGCUGCGUGGCGCCGGCCGUAAAAAGCCAACGUACCCCAAGGUUGACCUCGAAUCAGGUAGAGAAUACCCGCUGAACUUAAGCAUAU
rnacentral:rRNA from 1 species